GUAAAGAUUUCAAAGAUGGAAGAACAAAUCGAAUAUGAGUAGUACAUGAGAGGGCUCAAACACGAGAGAGAAAAAUCAAGUGGUGCUUCUUCUACCCAAAAUCAAAACCAACCCGCCGCCGCCGCCCUCUCAUCUCAAGCUCAAAGAUGAUGACUACAUUGAACUCUCUCUUGUUUGUGGGACUUACGCUUGCUCAAGCUACUUUUAGAGCUGCUUUAAACCCGCCUAGUGACGAUGAAUUUGUCAUAGCGUCCCAGCUCUUUAUCUGGUGCGAUGUUUUAUCCAUGGUUAGCUCGCUCCUUGCUCGACGAUGCCCAAGAGUUUUCGGCAGCUUUCAUCGCGAUCGCUGUGGUCAUGAUGAAGGCAGCUUUCACACUUGUAUUUCACAUUAGGUUUUCCGGUGAGGCCAUCAUCUUUGUGGUUUGGAUUGGGAUAUUUUUCACAUGCAUAUUGGUGAGUCCGAUCGUGUUUGAUUUGCUGUUUCGCCCUAGAUGGAGUCGGCUGCCAUCCUUUCUGCUUGGUCGUGCUUAGUUAGAGAUAUCUUCGAGUACAUGUUGGGACAAUCUAGAAAAUCACGGCACGCGAAGGGGGAAACUUUUACCUCAGAGCAAUUGAAGGCGGUUCGUGAUGAAUAUGAUGAGGUUUCAAGGCUAUGCAUUUUUCGUGUAGAAUCAUUGAAGCAAGGGCAGCCCCGGAGUCUUUUAACACAGGCACAGGUUUUUGUAUUUUUAUUGUUUUUUAUUUUUAUUAAGUCUUCAAUAGUUUCCUCCCAGAAUUUUCAUGUAUGUUUUG